GAGGAUCAUAGCUCAGUGGCAGAGUAUCUGCCUUGCAUGCCAAUGGUUUCAGGUUCAAUCCCUGAUAUCUCCA